rnacentral:rRNA from 1 species
GAUGAACGCUGGCGGCGUGCCUAAUACAUGCAAGUCGAGCGAACAGACGAGGAGCUUGCUCCUCUGAUGUUAGCGGCGGACGGGUGAGUAACACGUGGAUAACCUACCUAUAAGACUGGGAUAACUUCGGGAAACCGGAGCUAAUACCGGAUAACAUGUUGAACCGCAUGGUUCAACAGUGAAAGACAGUCUUGCUGUCACUUAUAGAUGGAUCCGCGCCGCAUUAGCUAGUUGGUAAGGUAACGGCUUACCAAGGCAACGAUGCGUAGCCGACCUGAGGGGGUGAUCGGCCACACUGGAACUGAGACACGGUCCAGACUCCUACGGGAGGCAGCAGUAGGGAAUCUUCCGCAAUGGGCGAAAGCCUGACGGAGCAACGCCGCGUGAGUGAAGAAGGUCUUCGGAUCGUAAAACUCUUUUAUUAGGGAAGAACAAAUGUGUAAGUAAAUAUGCACGUCUUGACGGUACCUAAUCAGAAAGCCACGGCUAACUACGUG